rfam:Simonsiella muelleri ATCC 29453 genomic scaffold supercont1.26, whole genome shotgun sequence.
UUGGGGGUUGUGGGUAUCGGUAACGACCCAACACAUUCGUUUUGUGUAGGACAACCUCCACCCAUUU